rnacentral:lncRNA from 1 species
AUGGAAUCGUACUGGAAAAAGCCUCUUGCUUUCCUUUUUCUAUUGUUCCGUGAUGAAGUGUUUGUUUAAUGAAUGAAAUGCUGCCUUUUAAUGAUGGUCCAAAGCCAUUUGCAACUUGGAAGAGCUGUUCUCCUUCAUCAACACUUACGGUGAUUCAAACCAGGCGAGGUGAAGUUCUGUGCCCGAAAUUCACAUAUGUGCUGAUUGAAAAAGACUCUUGCUGGAACUAACCACAUUGUGUAUCAAUAAUUCGUUGAAGGGGUGAAGCCACAACAGAUGACCCUCUAAGGAAACAAACUGUGCUACCAGCCUUGGUCAGUGAUCUCACAUGUGUAUCUGUGUACUGGCCACUGUGGCAGUCAAGUAAGUUUGUUGGAUAUCUGGCAUUGACCUAUCUCAACUCCUGGUAAAAAAACUUGUGGGAUUUCUCA